rnacentral:tRNA from 1 species
GCCGAGGUGGCGGAAGUGGUAGACGCGCUAGUUUCAGGUACUAGUGGGCGAAAGCUCGUGGAGGUUCAAGUCCUCUCCUCGGCA